GCUCUGCACACUGCCCUCGCCCUCUUCGCCUCCUACCUCCUCCGCACGCGCGCGCGCGCGUGCGGGGAAGACGCGCGUCGCUGGGGUGGAGACCCUCAAAAUUUCCAGAAAACUUUCGCCCGGCGAGUAGCAAAAAAGGUGCAGAUCUUUCGUCGACGUCUGAGACCGGGGGUAAACAUAACCUCUCCGCGGCGUGCGCCACAUUUUCGCAAUGGAACUGGCUCGCUCCGGAGUGAAAGAAGACUCGGGUGAUUCACUUUUGUCAGAAAGUCCAAGCAUGAAGAAACGAAGAAACCAUCGGGGAUUCUACUGCAAUCGCCUCUACUGCGAUCGAUGUGUACGGCAACAAGGCGCCGUGGGCAGAGAGAGAGAAAAUGCCACUCUUGCUGCUGUGAUUUAAUUUGUCACCCAUGCAGGGAUUACACGGAAACAUACUGGCCUCAAAAAGACCAUCGGUACAGGCAACUGCGGGAGUGAUAUAAGUUUCUGCCUCUCGGCUAGAAUAAACAGCAGCUGCGCCAGUAUACUCCGCAGGUUUCAUCUGAUCGUUGCUGGCGCCACUGGCACCUUUUCAAUGGUGCGUACAACCUGAACUGUGAGCGCUAUCUAGUGUAUUA
rnacentral:misc_RNA from 1 species